UGGGGAAUAUUGCACAAUGGGCGCAAGCCUGAUGCAGCCAUGCCGCGUGUAUGAAGAAGGCCUUCGGGUUGUAAAGUACUUUCAGUCGGGAGGAAGGUGGUAAGGUUAAUAACCUUAUCAAUUGACGUUACCGACAGAAGAAGCACCGGCUAACUCCGUGCCAGCAGCCGCGGUAAUACGGAGGGUGCAAGCGUUAAUCGGAAUUACUGGGCGUAAAGCGCACGCAGGCGGUUGAUUGAGUCAGAUGUGAAAUCCCCGGGCUUAACCCGGGAAUUGCAUCUGAUACUGGUCAGCUAGAGUCUUGUAGAGGGGGGUGGAAUUCCAUGUGUAGCGGUGAAAUGCGUGGAGAUGUGGAGGAAUACCGGUGGCGAAGGCGGCCCCCUGGACAAAGACUGACGCUCAGGUGCGAAAGCGGGGGGAGCAAACAGG
rnacentral:rRNA from 1 species